GCCUAUAGCAGUGCCACCCUGAACAAGCCCGAUCUCGUCUGAUCUCAGAAGCUAAGCAGGGUUGGGCCUGGUUAGUACUUGGAUGGGAGACCACCUAGGAAGACCAGGUGCUGUAGCAG
rnacentral:rRNA from 1 species